UCUCCAGUUCUCACCUGGCUGAGCCGCAGUAGUUCUUCAGUGGCAAGCUUUAUGUCCUGACCCAGCUAAAGCUGCCAGUUGAAGAACUGUUGCCCUCUGCCCCUGGCUUCGAGGAAGAAG
rnacentral:pre_miRNA from 14 species